CAAAACCAACGUCAAGUGCAAAGAAAACUUCACGUCACUUGGCUAAACACAAAAUACGGCAGUAGACGCGCGCAGAACAGACAACACGUACACAUCGAGGGACAUUCGUACGGAGUAAGCAAGAAUAGAAGGAGAGCGCAAAAUGUCAAAUGACAAGUGGUUCGAGAUGAACCAAAGCACCCAGAAGCUGAUCGGCGAACCACCGAAGCGCAAGUUUGUUCAGAUACGCUGAAGCUCCAUUCUGGCGGUCCCCACGCUCCCGUUGGUCGUGCUUUUCAUCCAAAGCAUCGUCUUCUUCUACUUGAACAGGCCUCAGGACAUCGUCAAAGAGUUGGGCGCGCUGGUAGCGACUUUGCCCAACAGCAUCCCGGACCGCAACUGCACCGACUUAGCCUGCCACUGGGCGGCCCUGCAGACCGCUUUAGCACAGCUGAAUGCAAGUCAUGCCGCGAUUUCCAACCACCUGGAGAAGGGUCAGACCGCACGCGCAAGGCUGAAGGCAGGUCAGGAGGCAGGUCAGAUGGCAUUGGCGGAGCUGAAGGCAGGUCAGGAGGCAGGUCAGAUGGCAUUGGAAGAGCUGAAGGCAGGUCAGACAGCAGGUAAGACCGCAUUGGCAGAGCUGAAGGCAGGUCAGGAGGCAGGUCAGACGGCAUUGGCGGAGCUGAAGGCAGGUCACGGCACCAUUUCCAGCGACCUGGAGAAGAGUCAGACCGCAUUGGCAGGUCAGGAGGCAGGUCAGACGGCAUUGGCAGAGCUGAAGGCAGGUCAGGAGGCAGGUCAGACGGCAUUGGCGGAGCUGAAGGCAGGUCACGGCACCAUUUGAUGUCAGAGUAUUGCCACAUGUCACUAUGACAAGCAGAGAAAAUGAAAAGAUUUUGGAGGAGGAGUCAGAUCUGUGUCCCAAGACUUAUGCUCAUCGUGUGCCGUAUAUCAGUGGUUCUCAAUGAACAGAAUGCAAUAAAUUAUGUCAAAUCUUUAUUCAAAAAGUUCAUUCGUCGAGUUUCUGAGAAACAAACUCAGUGCUCCCACUAAUUCAACGUAAUGGUGAGUUUUAUUUUUGUCAUUUGUACUUGUUUUUAUGUCAGUCGUAUCAUAUUAUU